UCAAGACCAGCAUUUUACGACAGCAUCAAGAAUAACACUUUACGACAGCAGCAAGAACAACAACACCGCAACAAUGCACGGCAACAACUUUGCAGGUAACAGACAAGCGGUCAUAAGAAUGGAAGCAGCAGCAAAGGACGAUAAAAAAAAAACACCAACCAACAUGUCAGCUAUAACUCAUUAACAAAACCAGCAACAUAAAUUCCAAUCAAUGGAGAGAGAAAACUAAAGGGCCAUGGUCAGAGGUCCUCUUGUCCGAUGUUAUUUUCUCUUUAUUAAUUUUAUUUGUUUCAAAUUCUAAUUUCAAAUUCGUUAUACUCCACAUGCGUCAUAUAAUAUUAUUUCUAAAUUUUUUUACUCUCCUAUAAAAAUUAUUCAUUAGACAAUAUAACCGAACAUUAAAUUAAGAAACCGUGCAUUAUACAGAAUAUAAACUAGUUCAAGGCUAUUAACUAAAUUUCAAAUCCCCUAAAAAAAAAAAAAAACUAGAUUUCAAAUUGUAUUAAGUAAAAAGUUGAAGUGGAAAAUUUUCCUCUAAAUAGAAUUAGGCGGCAAUUAAAUUGCAAGAAGACACUAAAUUUUUUGGAAAAUAUGAGAGUGAGGGCGCUAAAUUUUUUGGAGUUUUCCCGGUUAAUGGUAGCUUGCAGCGGGAAGUUUUCACAUGGCGCCGAACUUCUACAUAGAGAAUCUACCUAAGAUGCUCCUUUGUUUGUAUCGCCAAAAUCCUCUUCCUACUUUUUCUCUCCUCAACUCUGCUCUCUCUCUUCUCUGCUUCUCAUCAUAUCGCGAAGGUUAUGGCACCAUUAAGCUGUUGGAAGUUGCCGAUCACUGUCGAAGCUAUCGCUGGCAAGAAGAUCCUCGGUGGAAUCGCCGCCCAUGGUCAUGGCCUCUUUUUUGCUUGAAUCUCGUCCCAAAUCCUUUAUGAUUUCUUCCUUUUUCUUACCGAUUGAUCGAUUAUUUCAGUUAUGUUGGUAAUUUCUUGUUUUUGAUUGAUGAAUUGAUCGAUCAAUUAUCAAUUCUUGUUGUUGAUUGAUCGAUCGAUUAUCAAUUAUUUCAGUUAUGUUGGUAAUUUGUUGUUGUUAAUUGUGUCUUAUAAAAAAAAAUCCAACAAGAACGAACUUACCCCUUCGCCUUUGCUUUUGUAGUUUCUUGUUGGUAAUUUGGACCAUACUCGCCUUUGCUUUUCUACUUUCUUUAUAACAUCAAAUUCGGCAAUCUUGAUUUUCUGAAGAGUGAGUUUGUGGCUUUAAUGGUUCAUUAUUUCCUAUUUACAAUGUGAAGAGUAGUGGAGUCUUUAGCCUAGUUCUUUAGCUUGAAAUAUGAGAAAAAACAAGGACUUAAUGCUUUUGCAAUUGUUACUUGCUGCUUAUUUUAAAGACAAUGAAACAAUCGGCAUGGUCUUCUCCGUUAGUGCAGGACACUAUGAUUAGAGAAAAACUCAGUUUUGUUUUUUUUUGGUGAUGGAACUUGGAAGUGAUGCUUAUUACUAAAAGUCUAAGUUUGUAGCUAAUGGAAGAGCAUAAUUGCGUUUGCCUUUAUGCAGUUUCCUAGCAAUGCCAAAUUCUGCGCCAAUGUUCUAAUCAAUUGUCCUCCUUGCUCGGAAUUUGGCAGUUAAUUUUUAGCUUAGUUCAUUAUUUGAAGAGAAAUUAAACUUUAACCUUUUUCUUUGAUAUGCAAUAUGAGCAAAUGCUGCCACUCUGUGCUUCUGCAAUGGGUGCUUACUGUUUUUUUCACAGAUAAAGGCAAUCCCAUUGCUUUUCCUGCUUUUAUCUCCUAACGUAUGAUACAAUAUGACAGUAAAAACUUGUAUUAUUUGGCAUUGGCAGUGAUGCGCUGAUGCAUAUUAAUGGAAACAAAUUGGCUUAACUAUUAGAUCAUUACAUUUGAUUGUUUGUUGGUAGUACUUGUAUAAUUUUGUGGUUGAAAUAUACUCCGUAUCAACUUGUUUUACUUUGAAUUUAAUUUUGAAGAACAAUAUAUCAUUAUAACACUUCUUAAAUUCAAUUGACAGUCAGUUCAGAACUGCAUAGCCUAAUUCAUCCAUUCCAAUCUAAAUCAGUAGAAUUUAGGUGAUUAAAAUUCCAAGUUCGCUUCAAGUUUCCAUUAUCUCCAUAUCUUGCUUGGUUUGCAAUUAGAGCAGAUAACUCUUGGUUAUUCAGUUUAUUGAUAGAGACAUAUGCAGAACUGUUAAGUACCGAAUUCAUAAUUUGUGUUGAUGCAAGGGUUAUCAGUUUGCUAUUUUAAAUUAUAUCAUAGAAUAGUCAAAGGAUUUUUGAGCCAAUGCCAGGUUGCCAUGCUAUUUAAUUACGUAUUGAAGAAGACAAUGAAAAAAAACUGCAAAUGUAAGGACAUUUGGUAGGAUAUGUUAUACAAGAGUCAACUAUUUUUAAACGAUAUUUUUAUAUGCUUCUUUUCAGGUUGAACUGGUAAUCUUCCUCGUCCAAUCAUCCAAAAGAGGCUCCCAGAAGAUCAGCAUUAGCAGCCACCUAUAAAUCAAUCCUUGGGAGGUACCAAAUUCCGCUUAUCCAAGAACCAACUCAGGACAAGAAAACAACACUAAGAAUUCAAUUUACCAUGUACUGCAGCCUCCAAAACCCAUCUAACCUUCACCAUUUGUUGAACUAACCCAGAACCAAAGCUGCACUGAACAAUGCCAAAGCUCUAGGUUCUGAUCAGUCUGCUACAAGACUACGGGAACUCAGAAAAUACAUUCGAGCUAAACCAGGCACCUUUCAGGUCUGAUCGGGUCAACAGAUGAAGUGUAGCCCCGGAGAUCUAUUCAACUCGAGGGAUCGGUGCUGGCUUCAUAAAUACGUGCUGGUGAGGACUGGAAAGUGCUGCAAAGGGUGUUGAAGCAUGCUUGAUGUGUGAAAAUUUUAGUUUGUAAAAGACUAGUUUAUACAAAAGUUGACCUCAAUUGACUUUUCUAGUUUUUUGGUUGGUUUUUGUAGUUUUGCAUAGGUAAUUGGAGCUUAUUUUUGAACUGUUAUAUCAGAUGGGAAAAUUUAAGUGUAACACGGGCUAAUUGUUGAACUAUUAUAGCAGAUGUGCAAAUUUUAUGAGAUUUUUGAAAUUAAUGCA